UUGUUUCUUUACCUAAGAGAUCUUAUUUUCACUUUCUCCCCAAAUUUUUUCAUCCACAGCCCUUUUGUCAACAAAAAUUGAUGCAUUCCAUAACUCGAAAUUGGUCCUUGAAGAAGGUCUUUGUAUUUAUUUCAAGGAGAAAUGAGAGGAUUUCAAUUAUGAUAUGUAGGGAUGGGCAUAGAAACUUCAUAUUCAAAAAAAAUCUACUCGAUUUCUCCAAUUUUCAUAGGCAACACAAUCUGUCACUUUCUUUUAGUUAUUUCAAAUGAGUUUGUCUUUAAUUACAUAGGUUCAGUAAUAUUUUGUAGAUAUUUACUUCCUUAUGGAUUUGACAUGUUACCUCUGCUAGAUUGUGAAGAUUUUCUCUUUGACGUUAUGGAAUGUUUGUAACUAAAAUAACAUUAUAUAUAAUUUUCAUUUUUUCUCCUU